GAUGAAGAACGUAGCGAAAUGCGAUACUUGGUGUGAAUUGCAGAAUCCCGUGAACCAUCGAGUCUUUGAACGCAAGUUGCGCCCGAAGCCUCGGCUAAGGGCACGUCUGCCUGGGCGUCACGCAUCGCGUCUCCCCCAAACCGCCAAGGCGGAGGGGAAGGAAGAUGGCUUCCCGUGCCUCACCCGGCGCGGUUGGCCUAAAUUUGGAGCCCGCGGCACUUAGCUCACGCGGCGAUGGGUGGUGAACAAGGCCUUGGCCGUGCAAACAACCCGCUGCGAAGCUCUAUGUCACGUGCGCUCGUCGGACCCUUUGAAGUUGCCUUCGGUGACUUAAAACCUUUGCGACCCCAGGUCAGGCGGGGCUACCCGCUGAAUUUAAGCAUAUCAAUAAGCGGAGGA
rnacentral:misc_RNA from 1 species